AGCAGCCGCGGUAAUUCCAGCUCCAAUAGCGUAUAUUAAAGUUGUUGCAGUUAAAAAGCUCGUAGUUGAAUUUCGGGGUUAGUAGGUUGGUCAUGCCUCUGGUAUGUACUGGUCUUACUGAUUCCUCCUUCCUGAUGAACCGUAAUGCCAUUAAUUUGGUGUUGCGGGGAAUUUGGACUGUUACUUUGAAAAAAUUAGAGUGUUUAAAGCAAGCUAACGCUUGAAUACAUUAGCAUGGAAUAAUGAAAUAGGACGUUCGAUCCUAUUUUGUUGGUUUCUAAGAUUGACGUAAUGAUUAAUAGGGAUAGUUGGGGGCAUUAGUAUUCAAUUGUCAGAGGGGAAAUUCUUGGAUUUAUUGAAGACUGACUACUGCGAAAGCAUUUGCCAAGGAUGUUUUCAUUAAUCAAGAACGAAAGUUAGGGGAUCGAAGACGAUCAGAUACCGUCGUAGUCUUAACCAUAAACUAUGCCGACUAGGGAUCGGAUGAUGUUAAUUUUUUAAUGACUCA
rnacentral:rRNA from 1 species